rnacentral:rRNA from 2 species
GCGAACGCUGGCGGCAGGCUUAACACAUGCAAGUCGAGCGGGCAUCUUCGGAUGUCAGCGGCAGACGGGUGAGUAACACGUGGGAACGUACCCUUCGGUUCGGAACAACUCUGGGAAACUGGAGCUAAUACCGGAUACGCCCUUAUGGGGAAAGGUUUACUGCCGAAGGAUCGGCCCGCGUCUGAUUAGCUAGUUGGUGGGGUAACGGCCUACCAAGGCGACGAUCAGUAGCUG